CAGUACGUUACGUCGCUUACCAGUUUCGUUUUCUCAUCAUUUUUCAAGUAAAACGACCGUCAUGGGGUGUCGGGGGUCGGAGGUUCAAAUCCUCUCGUACCGACCA
rnacentral:tRNA from 1 species